CUACGGGUGGCACCAGUGGGGAAUAUUGCACAAUGGGCGCAAGCCUGAUGCAGCCAUGCCGCGUGUAUGAAGAAGGCCUUCGGGUUGUAAAGUACUUUCAGCGGGGAGGAAGGGAGUAAAGUUAAUACCUUUGCUCAUUGACGUUACCCGCAGAAGAAGCGCCAGCUAACUCCGUGCCAGCAGCCGCGGUAAUACGGAGGGUGCAAGCGUUAAUCGGAAUUACUGGGCGUAAAGCGCACGCAGGCGGUUUGUUAAGUCAGAUGUGAAAUCCCCGGGCUCAACCUGGGAACUGCAUCUGAUACUGGCAAGCUUGAGUCUCGUAGAGGGGGGUAGAAUUCCAGGUGUAGCGGUGAAAUGCGUAGAGAUCUGGAGGAAUACCGGUGGCGAAGGCGGCCCCCUGGACGAAGACUGACGCUCAGGUGCGAAAGCGUGGGGAGCAAACAGGAUUAGAUACCCGGGUAGUC
rnacentral:rRNA from 1 species